rnacentral:rRNA from 1 species
AGUGAACGCUGGCGGUAGGCCUAACACAUGCAAGUCGAACGGCAGCACAGUAAGAGCUUGCUCUUACGGGUGGCGAGUGGCGGACGGGUGAGGAAUACAUCGGAAUCUACUUUUUCGUGGGGGAUAACGUAGGGAAACUUACGCUAAUACCGCAUACGACCUACGAGUGAAAGCAGGGGAUCUUCGGACCUUGCGCGAUUGAAUGAGCCGAUGUCGGAUUAGCUAGUUGGCGGGGUAAAGGCCCACCAAGGCGACGAUCCGUAGCUGGUCUGAGAGGAUGAUCAGCCACACUGGAACUGAGACACGGUCCAGACUCCUACGGGAGGCAGCAGUGGGGAAUAUUGGACAAUGGGCGCAAGCCUGAUCCAGCCAUACCGCGUGGGUGAAGAAGGCCUGCGGGUUGUAAAGCCCUUUUGUUGGGAAAGAAAAGCAGCAGGUUAAUACCCCGCUGUUCUGACGGUACCCAAAGAAUAAGCACCGGCUAACUUCGU